rnacentral:rRNA from 1 species
UACGUAGGGUGCGAGCGUUAAUCGGAAUUACUGGGCGUAAAGCGUGCGCAGGCGGCUUUGCAAGACAGAUGUGAAAUCCCCGGGCUCAACCUGGGAACUGCAUUUGUGACUGCAAGGCUAGAGUACGGCAGAGGGGGAUGGAAUUCCGCGUGUAGCAGUCAAAUGCGUAGAUAUGCGGAGGAACACCAAUGGCGAAGGCAAUCCCCUGGGCCUGUACUGACGCUCAUGCACGAAA